rnacentral:rRNA from 1 species
UGCAGUAGAACGCUGAAGAGAGGAGCUUGCUCUUCUUGGAUGAGUUGCGAACGGGUGAGUAACGCGUAGGUAACCUGCCUUGUAGCGGGGGAUAACUAUUGGAAACGAUAGCUAAUACCGCAUAACAAUGGGUGACUCAUGUCAUUUAUUUGAAAGGGGCAAAUGCUCCACUACAAGAUGGACCUGCGUUGUAUUAGCUAGUAGGUGAGGUAACGGCUCACCUAGGCGACGAUACAUAGCCGACCUGAGAGGGUGAUCGGCCACACUGGGACUGAGACACGGCCCAGACUCCUACGGGAGGCAGCAGUAGGGAAUCUUCGGCAAUGGGGGCAACCCUGACCGAGCAACGCCGCGUGAGUGAAGAAGGUUUUCGGAUCGUAAAGCUCUGUUGUAAGUCAAGAACGAGUGUGAGAGUGGAAAGUUCACACUGUGACGGUAGCUUACCAGAAAGGGACGGCUAACUACGUGCCAGCAGCCGCGGUAAUACGUAGGUCCCGAGCGUUGUCCGGAUUUAUUGGGCGUAAAGCGAGCGCAGGCGGUUUGAUAAGUCUGAAGUUAAAGGCUGUGGCUCAACCAUAGUUCGCUUUGGAAACUGUCAAACUUGAGUGCAGAAGGGGAGAGUGGAAUUCCAUGUGUAGCGGUGAAAUGCGUAGAUAUAUGGAGGAACACCGGUGGCGAAAGCGGCUCUCUGGUCUGUAACUGACGCUGAGGCUCGAAAGCGUGGGGAGCGAACAGGAUUAGAUACCCUGGUAGUCCACGCCGUAAACGAUGAGUGCUAGGUGUUGGAUCCUUUCCGGGAUUCAGUGCCGCAGCUAACGCAUUAAGCACUCCGCCUGGGGAGUACGACCGCAAGGUUGAAACUCAAAGGAAUUGACGGGGGCCCGCACAAGCGGUGGAGCAUGUGGUUUAAUUCGAAGCAACGCGAAGAACCUUACCAGGUCUUGACAUCCCGAUGCUAUUUCUAGAGAUAGAAAGUUACUUCGGUACAUCGGUGACAGGUGGUGCAUGGUUGUCGUCAGCUCGUGUCGUGAGAUGUUGGGUUAAGUCCCGCAACGAGCGCAACCCCUAUUGUUAGUUGCCAUCAUUCAGUUGGG